rnacentral:rRNA from 1 species
AUGAUCGCUGGCGGCGUGCCUAAUACAUGCAAGUAGAACGCUGAAGGAGGAGCUUGCUCUUCUGGAUGAGUUGCGAACGGGUGAGUAACGCGUAGGUAACCUGCCUGGUAGCGGGGGAUAACUAUUGGAAACGAUAGCUAAUACCGCAUGACAACAGUUAUUGCAUGAUAACUGUUUAAAAGGGGCAACUGCUCCACUACCAGAUGGACCUGCGUUGUAUUAGCUAGUUGGUGAGGUAACGGCUCACCAAGGCGACGAUACAUAGCCGACCUGAGAGGGUGAUCGGCCACACUGGGACUGAGACACGGCCCAGACUCCUACGGGAGGCAGCAGUAGGGAAUCUUCGGCAAUGGACGGAAGUCUGACCGAGCAACGCCGCGUGAGUGAAGAAGGUUUUCGGAUCGUAAAGCUCUGUUGUAAGAGAAGAACGAGUGUGAGAGUGGAAAGUUCACACUGUGACGGUAUCUUACCAGAAAGGGACGGCUAACUACGUG